rnacentral:rRNA from 1 species
AAAGGCGUGCGCAGGCGGUUUUUUAAGAACAGGGUGUGAAAUCCCCGGGCUUAACCCUGGGAAUGGCAUUUGUGACUGGAAGGCUAGAGUGUGUCAGAGGGGGGUAGAAUUCCACGUGUAGCAGUGAAAUGCGUAGAGAUGUGGAGGAAUACCGAUGGCGAAGGCAGCCCCCUGGGAUAACACUGACGCUCAUGCACGAAAGCGUGGGGAGCAAACAGGAUUAGAUACCCUGGUAGUCCACGCCCUAAACGAUGUCUACUAGUUGUCGGGUCUUAAUUGACUUGGUAACGCAGCUAACGCGUGAAGUAGACCGCCUGGGGAGUACGGUCGCAAGAUUAAAACUCAAAGGAAUUGACGGGGACCCGCACAAGCGGUGGAUGAUGUGGAUUAAUUCGAUGCAACGCGAAAAACCUUACCUACCCUUGACAUGGCUGGAAUCCUUCAGAGAUGAGGGAGUGCUUGAAAGAGAACCAGUACACAGGUGCUGCAUGGCUGUCGUCAGCUCGUG